CAGGCACCUCGACGGCGGCCAGCGCUACCUGAGAUGACACCGCACACCUGACACCUGCGCGUGCGCGUGCACGGCAGCCCGCACGCUAUCCCGCACCACGCGAGGGGUCGUUUUACGUCAUCAAACAAACUGUUGGAAUUCAGCAACAGUUGGCGCGGACCGUCAACUUGUGCGUCGCGCGCACGCAGACGCCGCUCGCUGCGGGUUCUAACCUGAGCGGAGCCCCCACGGGACCGACGCGGUGUGUUGGCACGCGGGCUACUUCUACAACUGGGCACAGGACUGAGCCAAGCAUGCGUGAGGUUCCGACGUUGUCCCUCCAUCGUUCCUCUUCUGCUGCGACUGUCACUGGUUUUUCCAACAAACUAAAGAGUCGGUGAAGGAGGAACCUCAAGAAGUGAAUGUGAGAUACGCAUCUUGUUGCAUGGUCAACAGCUGGAAACGCUAACUGAAGCGUCAGAGUGGUCUUCAGCAGCCAACCACAGGAGUGAUGUGGCUGGUGUGGUUGUGUGUGACAGUGACACUCAGCUUUCUGUCAUGUUGCACGAUGGAGGCUGAGGAGAUUGAGAUGCUACAAACUCUUUAUUGUCCUGUGAGUAAAUCUGUGCAUCACUGUCCCUGCAGCGCUGCACAGAUCCAGUGACAGUUAACCCUUUUAUCUGCAUUAUGAAGAA